rnacentral:rRNA from 1 species
CAGCGCAGCACAAGGAUCCUGGGGAGGAAGAGGGUCGUUGUUUCUCCGGCUCCGAGCCCCUCAGGCCCGCACUCCCCGGUGUGGACUCUGCGCAAGCAGCGCAACAUUAGGUUCCAUAUGGACGACACCGUCUGCCUACUUGAAUCGCUGCCUCAAGAUGUCUUGGUCAAAGUCUGCAAGGUGAACCACAGCGACCUGAGGCAGCUCCUCCAGGUGUCGAAGCCAGUCAGCGAAGCAACAGUGGUUGCUAAGGAGCUGCAUUUCGCCUUCACGACGCUGUCGAAGGCCUCCACGGACGGCGAGGAGGAAGACGAUGGCCCCGGGGCGCCCAACCAACACAGGGUUGCACGGUCGCGCUGCUGGGGCAUGAGUUUGGCCAGCGUCGCCGUCAAUCUGUCUUCGUCGUUCAGCAGCUUGAUGUCAGAGGUGUAG